rnacentral:rRNA from 1 species
GGCCUACCAAGGCGACGAUCUGUAGCUGGUCUGAGAGGACGACCAGCCACACUGGGACUGAGACACGGCCCAGACUCCUACGGGAGGCAGCAGUGGGGAAUUUUGGACAAUGGGGGAAACCCUGAUCCAGCAAUGCCGCGUGUGUGAAGAAGGCCUUCGGGUUGUAAAGCACUUUUGUCCGGAAAGAAAACCUUCGAGUUAAUACCUUGGGGGGAUGACGGUACCGGAAGAAUAAGCACCGGCUAACUACGUGCCAGCAGCCGCGGUAAUACGUAGGGUGCGAGCGUUAAUCGGAAUUACUGGGCGUAAAGCGUGCGCAGGCGGUUCGUUAAGACAGAUGUGAAAUCCCCGGGCUUAACCUGGGAACUGCAUUUGUGACUGGCGAGCUAGAGUAUGGCAGAGGGGGGUAGAAUUCCACGUGUAGCAGUGAAAUGCGUAGAGAUGUGGAGGAAUACCGAUGGCGAAGGCAG